rnacentral:rRNA from 1 species
AUGGAAAGGCGACUUCAUGCAGAUUUGUUUGUUCCAAUGAGGGCAUUAGAAGGAAAGGGCAAACCGACCGUGAGCCAAAACGUUUUAGAGCUGAAACAAGAACUAAUUGUAGAGUUCAUAUGGUUAUUAGAUUGGAUCGAGCUGCAGAAAAUUAUGAAGUUACUGAUGUUGAGCUGGAACACAACCACUAUCUUCAAUUGCCACAAACACGCCACUUGUUGGCAUCACAAAGGAAGAUUUCAUAAGCACAAGCUUUCGAGAUAG